rfam:Lupinus angustifolius cultivar Tanjil chromosome LG15, whole genome shotgun sequence.
GAGUGUGACCAUACCACCACCAAUGCAUCGGAUCCCAUCAGAACUCCACAGUUAAGCUUGCUUGGGCGAGAGUAGUACUAGGAUGGGUGACCUCCUUGGAAGUCCUCAUGUUGCACCGU